rnacentral:rRNA from 1 species
UAACAGUUAAGAAAUGACUGCUAAUACCGGAUGAUGACUUCGGUACCAAAGUAUUUAUCGCCGGAGGGAGUGGGCCCGCGUAGGAUUAGCUAGUUGGUGGGGUAAAGGCCUACCAAGGCGACGAUCCUUAGCUGGUCUGAGAGGAUGAUCAGCCACACUGGGACUGAGACACGGCCCAGACUCCUACGGGAGGCAGCAGUGGGGAAUAUCGGACAAUGGGCGAAAGCCUGAUCCAGCAAUGCCGCGUGAGUGAUGAAGGCCUUAGGGUUGUAAAGCUCUUUUACCAGGGAUGAUAAUGACAGUACCUGGAGAAUAAGCUCCGGCUAACUCCGUG